CAGGUGGUGCGAUGGUUGUCGUCAGCUCGUGUCGUGAGAUGUUGGGUUAAGUCCCGCAACGAGCGCAACCCUCGACCUUAGUUGCCAGCAUUCAGUUGGGCACUCUAAGGUGACUGCCGGCUAAAAGUCGGAGGAAGGCGGGGAUGACGUCAAAUCAUCAUGCCCCUUAUGACCUGGGCUACACACGUGCUACAAUGGGCGGUACAAAGGGUCGCGAACCCGCGAGGGGGAGCCAAUCCCAAAAAGCCGCUCUCAGUUCGGAUUGCAGGCUGCAACUCGCCUGCAUGAAGCCGGAAUCGCUAGUAAUCGCGGAUCAGCAUGCCGCGGUGAAUACGUUCCCGGGCCUU
rnacentral:rRNA from 1 species